rnacentral:rRNA from 1 species
GACGAACGCUGGCGGCGUGCUUAACACCUGCAAGUCGAACGGAAAGGCCCUGCUUUUGUGGGGUGCUCGAGUGGCGAACGGGUGAGUAACACGUGAGUAACCUGCCCUUGACUUUGGGAUAACUUCAGGAAACUGGGGCUAAUACCGGAUAGGAGCUCCUGCUGCAUGGUGGGGGUUGGAAAGUUUCGGCGGUUGGGGAUGGACUCGCGGCUUAUCAGCUUGUUGGUGGGGUAGUGGAUUACCAAGGCUUUGACGGGUAGCCGGCCUGAGAGGGUGACCGGCCACAUUGGGACCGAGAUACGGCCCAGACUCCUACGGGAGGCAGCAGUGGGGAAUAUUGCACAAUGGGCGGAAGCCUGAUGCAGCAACGCCGCGUGCGGGAUGACGGCCUUCGGGUUGUAAACCGCUUUCGCCUGUGACGAAGCGUGAGUGACGGUAAUGGGUAAAGAAGCACCGGCUAACUACGUG